UACGUAGGGGCAAGCGUUGUCCGGAAUCAUUGGCGUAAGAGCGCGUAGGCGGCCCUGUAAGUCCGCUGUGAAAGUCAAGGGCUCAACCCUUGGAUGCCGGUGGAUACUGCAGGGCUAGAGUUCGGAAGAGGCGAGUGGAAUUCCUGGUGUAGCGGUGAAAUGCGCAGAUAUCAGGAGGAACACCAGCGGCGAAGGCGGCGCUCUGGGCCGGUACUGACACUGAGGAGCGAAAGCGUGGGUAGCAAACAGG
rnacentral:rRNA from 1 species